UUUUUAUUUUUCAUUUUCAUUUCUCUCUCCUCACAACUCUGUAGUUAUUUCUCUCUCCUCAACCUCUCUCAAAGAUUCAAACCCUAAUUUCAUGGCUGCUACGCCGAUUCUCUCCGGCGACCUUUCUUCCUCCUCAGCGAGAUUCGAGAAUUGCCGCUGCCUCUUGAGCGGCGGAGGUGGCUACAACGGAGGCCGCCUAAUGGAUGAGACACCGUCAUUUAACGUGUCGGAGAACUGGUCGGUUCCGAUGAAUGGCGCCGCUGCGGCGUCAACGCUACAACGAAGGUGAAGGUGCGGCGGCGAUUUUAUUUUUAUUUUUCAAGAUUGAUUUCACUUGCUAUUCAAACCGGUGAGCCGAAGGACGGGGAAGAGCCUCGUUGUCGACGACGGAGUCUCCGUCUCAAGGAAACAUAACGUCCACGCCCACAGGCACGGGCACGAGCACGGGCACGGGCACAACAAGCCCCUACAGAACAGAAACAACCACUCACCACCACAACCACAUGAUGCAGGAACAAAGCUGCAGAAGCAACGACUGUUGUUGGUUGUUCAUCUCUGGCGACUUUUAGGGGAUGUCCCUUCGAUGCCUUGACAGAGGCAAAGUUCAGAAUGGCCGCCUGGGUUGCUCUGCCUCUUUGUUCAUCUCCGACUACUUCUAGGAUUUAGUUAAUGAUCUAUGUAAUAAUUUUAGUUAAUUUCGUGUUAGUUAUGUUGAAUUUUGUUUUAGUUAAGAAAAAAUCCAUUUUAGUUGAGAAAUAAAAUUGUUUAGUUAUAUUUUUGUAUGUAUGUCAAAUUUUAUUUUAGUUAUGAUUUUGUUAUA